rnacentral:rRNA from 1 species
CCUACGGGAGGCAGCAGUGAGGAAUAUUGGUCAAUGGGCGCGAGCCUGAACCAGCCAAGUAGCGUGAAGGAUGACUGCCCUACGGGUUGUAAACUUCUUUUAUAAAGGAAUAAAGUGAGGCACGUGUGCCUUUUUGUAUGUACUUUAUGAAUAAGGAUCGGCUAACUCCGUGCCAGCAGCCGCGGUAAUACGGAGGAUCCGAGCGUUAUCCGGAUUUAUUGGGUUUAAAGGGUGCGUAGGCGGGUUGUUAAGUUAGAGGUGAAAGUUUGGGGCUUAACUGGGGAACUGCCACUAAUACUGGUGGUCUAGAGAACAGAUGCGGUAGGCGGAAUGUAUGGUGUAGCGGUGAAAUGCUUAGAGAUCAUACAGAACACCGAUUGCGAAGGCAGCUUACCAAUCUAUAACUGACGUUGAGGCACGAAAGCGUGGGGAGCAAACAGGAUUAGAUACCCUUGUAGUC